rnacentral:tRNA from 1 species
GAGGGUACAGCUCAGUGGUAGAGUGCGUGCUUAGCAUGCACCAGGUCCUGGGUUCAAUCCCCAGUAUUUCCA